rnacentral:rRNA from 1 species
UGGGGAAUAUUGCACAAUGGAGGGAACUCUGAUGCAGCGACGCCGCGUGAACGAAGAAGGCUUUCGAGUCGUAAAGUUCUUUUAUAUGGGAAGAUAAUGACGGUACCAUAAGAAAAAGCCCCGGCUAACUACGUGCCAGCAGCCGCGGUAAUACGUAGGGGGCUAGCGUUGUCCGGAAUCACUGGGCGUAAAGGGUUCGCAGGCGGAAAUGCAAGUCAGAUGUAAAAGGCAGUAGCUUAGCUACUGUAAGCAUUUGAAACUGCAUAUCUUGAGAAGAGUAGAGGUAAGUGGAAUUUUUAGUGUAGCGGUGAAAUGCGUAGAUAUUAAAAAGAAUACCGGUGGCGAAGGCGACUUACUGGGCUCAUUCUGACGCUGAGGAACGAAAGCGUGGGUAGCAAACAGG